rnacentral:rRNA from 1 species
GGCAUGCAAGUCGAACGGAAUUCGGAUGAUGGUAACAUUUUCCGAAUUUAGUGGCGAAAGGGUGAGUAACACGUGGGCAAUCUGCCUUAAACCUGGGGAUAACCAGCCGAAAGGCUGGCUAAUACCGAAUGUGGUGUUGUGAAGGCAUCUUUGCGACAUUAAAGAUGGGGACCUUCGGGCCUGUCGGUUUAAGACGAACCCGCGUCCUAUUAGCUUGUUGGUGAGGUAACGGCCCACCAAGGCUAUGAUGGGUAGCCGGACUGAGAGGUUGACCGGCCACACUGGGACUGAGACACUGCCCAGACUCCUACGGGAGGCUGCAGUCGAGAAUCUUUCGCAAUGGGCGCAAGCCUGACGAAGCGACGCCGCGUGGGUGAUGAAGGCCUUCGGGUCGUAAAACCCUGUCACGAGGGAAGAAAUGCAUGGGGGUUAACAGCGCCCGUGUUUGACGGUACCUCGAGAGGAAGCUCCGGCUAACUCCGUGCCAGCAGCCGCGGUAAUACGGAGGGAGCAAGCGUUGUUCGGAUUUAUUGGGCGUAAAGGGUGUCUAGGCGGUGAGGUCAGUCGAAUGUGAAAGCCCUCGGCUUAACCGAGGAACUGCAUUCGAAACUACCUCACUUGAGUACGGCAGACGUAAACGGAAUUCUCAGUGUAGCGGUGGAAUGCGUAGAUAUUGAGAAGAACACCAGUGGCAAAGGCGGUUUACGAGGCUGAUACUGACGCUGAAGCACGAAAGCCAGGGGAGCGAACGGGAUUAGAUACCCCGGUAGUCCUGGCCGUAAACGAUGUGCACUAGGUGUAGGAGGUAUCGACCCCUUCUGUGCCAAAGUUAACGCAUUAAGUGCACCGCCUGGGGAGUACGACCGCAAGGUUGAAACUCAAAGGAAUUGACGGGGGCCCGCACAAGCGGUGGAGCAUGUGGUUUAAUUCGAUGCAACGCGAAGAACCUUACCAGGGCUUGACAUGUACUUGACGGUCAGUGAAAGCUGGCUUUCCUUCGGGACAAGUGCACAGGUGCUGCAUGGCUGUCGUCAGCUCGUGUCGUGAGAUGUUGGGUUAAGUCCCGCAACGAGCGCAACCCUUGUCGUUAGUUGCCAGCAUUUAAGGUGGGAACUCUAACGAGACUGCCGGUGAUAAACCGGAGGAAGGGGGAUGACGUCAAGUCAGUAUGGCCCUUACGCCCUGGGCUACACACGUGCUACAAUGGUCGGUACAGAGGGUUGCCAAACCGUGAGGUGGAGCCAAUCCCAGAAAACCGGCCCCAGUUCGGAUUGAAGUCUGCAACUCGACUUCAUGAAGUUGGAAUCGCUAGUAAUGGCGUAUCAGCUACGACGCCGUGAAUACGUUCCCGGGCCUUGUACACACCGCCCGUCACAUCACGAAAGUUUACUGUACCAGAAGUCGCUGAGUUAACCCGCAAGGGAGGCAGGCGCCGAAGGUAUGGUCGAUAAUUGGGAUGAAGUCGUAACAAGGUA